AGGGAAUCUUCCGCAAUGGACGCAAGUCUGACGGAGCAACGCCGCGUGAGUGAUGAAGGUUUUCGGAUCGUAAAGCUCUGUUGCCAGGGAAGAACGCUCAAGAGAGUAACUGCUCUUGAGGUGACGGUACCUGAGAAGAAAGCCCCGGCUAACUACGUGCUAGCAGCCGCGGUAAUACGUAGGGGGCAAGCGUUGUCCGGAAUUAUUGGGCGUAAAGCGCGCGCAGGCGGUCAUUUAAGUUUGGUGUUUAAGCCCGGGGCUCAACCCCGGAUCGCACUGAAAACUGGGUGACUUGAGUGCGGGAGAGGAAAGUGGAAUUCCACGUGUAGCGGUGAAAUGCGUAGAGAUGUGGAGGAACACCAGUGGCGAAGGCGACUUUCUGGACCGUAACUGACGCUGAGGCGCGAAAGCGUGGGGAGCAAAC
rnacentral:rRNA from 1 species